rnacentral:lncRNA from 1 species
UACGGCAAUCGGUUCAAAAAGCAACUUGCGUUUGCCAUGCGAUGUGCGAGACAAACGCCGAGGUAUUGCCAAACGUACCUGGAAGACUGAUUAGAACUUAUCGGGGGCGACGAUUGCCCGCCGUUGGCCCAUAGUGUGCAGUGUGCGCUAGCCAUCGCAUUUUUCACUCAAAACACGAAAUGAGCACGUUAUUUGAAUUGCAAUACGUUUAAGCAG